rnacentral:rRNA from 1 species
UACAGAGGGGGCAAGCGUUAUUCGGAAUUAUUGGGCGUAAAGGGCGCGUAGGCGGCUUUUCAAGUGGCGGGUGAAAUCCCUCGGCUUAACCGAGGAACUGCCUGCCAGACUGGAUGGCUUGAGACCGGGAGAGGUGAGUGGAAUUCCCAGUGUAGCGGUGAAAUGCGUAGAUAUUGGGAGGAACACCAGUGGCGAAGGCGGCUCACUGGACCGGUACUGACGCUGAGGCGCGAAAGCGUGGGGAGCAAACAGG